UUCUUUCUUUUGGUUUUGGGGUGAAAUGACCCAUUUUAUGAGAUUCACCUGGCUAUCACACACACAUUCGUUAAUGAACUAAAUCACUGAAUCAAGGCAGGUGUGCGUCUAAGAAUACAAUCGACCUGCAUGGGGUCUAAAUUAGGUCCUGUCAUAAAACACUUUCUUUGCAAACAAAGACAGAGAGUGAAAAAAACAGUUUUUAAUUCAGUAAAAGCCCUGCCAAAAAUCACAACGUGCCCAAGGAAGGAUUGUGUAUUCAGCCAGAGGAAACAGUUAUCUUCUUUGGUGUGAACAGACCUUAAGGUCAACUGAAGCAUCUUUAUCUACUCGAUGAAGCAUCCAAUGAUUCAUCUCAGCUGCGCCAGGAAGGACAGUUGAGGUUCUGACUUACUGCUAGUCACUCAAACAGCACUAACCCUCAGGGAGACAGUAAGUUUGCAGCAUGUUCGGACAUAAACGCAUGCAAUCAUCUCCUGAGAGGUAGCCGCAUGACUCAACAGAAACUUCACCAGCUACAAUACCCUGGACUGUUCCAGUUCUCCAGGGAAGAGGCCUGCAACAAAAGAGCAUUGAUGCAAAGAGCUGACAAAGGUCCGUCAUGUGUGAUUUUGCAGGGCGAGAUGCAGACAUUAGCGGCGCUGGAACAACAAGCAGCUCUGUGGCCAGACAUCUGCUCUGCAUUAGCUCGGUGCUUACUAACAGAGUGCUAGCAUGUCACACCAGCACUCCUCCAUCAGAGCCAGCGCUGGAGAAUGCUGCACAUCCAGGACAAUUAUAGGGCCUCCAAUAAAUCCCAGCUGAAGUUUCUGAUUAUCUUUCUAUUUAUGAGAGGAACUUGAACGGAAAGCUCACACUGAGUUCUUGCGCCGCUGCAUUUAAUAAACAAGUCUGCCAAAA